ACUUUUGGGGCGUCCUCUAGCUCACCCAGUAAGAGUAUGCGCCUCAUGUUGGCUGAGACCUUUGCAGUGGCCCAGGUUUGAAUCGGACCUGCGGCCCUUUGCUACGUGUCAUCCCCUCUCUUUGUCUCACCCUUUCCUGUCCAUCCAGUCACUAUCAAAUAAAGGGAAAAGCCCCUAAAAUAAU